GAUGAACGCUAGCGACAGGCCUAACACAUGCAAGUCGAGGGGCAGCAUAGAGGUAGCAAUACUUUGGUGGCGACCGGCGCACGGGUGAGUAACACGUAUGCAACCUACCUGUAAGAGGGGAAUAACCCGGAGAAAUUCGGACUAAUACCGCAUAAUACCACGAAGUCGCAUGGAUUUGUGUUUAAACAUUUAUGGCUUACAGACGGGCAUGCGUAUGAUUAGCUAGUUGGUAGGGUAACGGACUACCAAGGCAACGAUAAUUAGGGGUUCUGAGAGGAAGGUCCCCCACACUAGUACGGAGACACGGAGCAGACUCCUACGGGAGGCAGCAGUGAGGAAUAUUGGUCAAUGGGCGAGAGCCUGAACCAGCCAAGUCGCGUGAAGGAAGAAGGUUCUAUGGAUUGUAAACUUCUUUUGUAAGGGAAUAAAAAGAGUUACGUGUAACUUAUUGUAUGUACUUUACGAAUAAGGAUCGGCUAACUCCGUGCCAGCAGCCGCAGUAAGAC
rnacentral:rRNA from 1 species